CCUUUGGCUCUUUUCAGGGCCACCAAAUGUGUUAACAGAGUAAUAU
rfam:Aedes aegypti strain Liverpool supercont1.419 genomic scaffold, whole genome shotgun sequence.